rnacentral:misc_RNA from 1 species
UUAGGAUCGAAAGGAGAAACGCAGACGAAAUCCCGCGAAUGAUAAAGCAGCGACGCAAUAUAAACGAAUACAAAGAGGAGGCAGAGGAUGAGACACGGGGUAGGACAAGGGCAGAAGUGGGACAAGCGGGACAUGUAAUUAGCAGCCAAUAAAGAGAGGUUCUGUUUCUUGGUCUUGGACUCAAGAUAGUCGAAGUGUCGGAAUCGGAAACAGCGUCGUCGGGGUAGGGAGAAACCCGACGGGAGGAGAGGACUCGCUCCAGCAUCUUAGCGGAGGAAGUGGUGGUCUUGGGACUGUGGGGUUGCUUCAGAGCGUGCAUAGUGAACAUUUUCUGUUGUCAAAGUUUUAACCUUUUCCUUCAAGUUUCAGUCUUUGAGACAACCAUAUCAUGCUCAGGAGACCGGCGAUCAAGUCUUG